UACGGGGGGGGCAAGCGUUGUUCGGAAUUACUGGGCGUAAAGGGCGCGUAGGCGGCGCGGGAAGUCCGUGGUGAAAGCCCGAGGCUCAACUUCGGGUCGGCCAUGGAUACUCCUGGGCUUGAGCACUGUAGAGGCAGGUGGAAUUCCGGGUGUAGCGGUGGAAUGCGUAGAGAUCCGGAAGAACACCGGUGGCGAAGGCGGCCUGCUGGGCAGUAGCUGACGCUGAGGCGCGACAGCGUGGGGAGCAAACAGG
rnacentral:rRNA from 1 species